UACGUAGGGUGCAAGCGUUGUCCGGAAUUAUUGGGCGUAAAGAGCUCGUAGGCGGUCUGUCGCGUCUGCUGUGAAAACUCAGGGCUUAACCCUGAGCUUGCAGUGGGUACGGGCAGACUAGAGUGCGGUAGGGGAGACUGGAAUUCCUGGUGUAGCGGUGAAAUGCGCAGAUAUCAGGAGGAACACCGGUGGCGAAGGCGGGGUCUCUGGGCCGAUACUGACGCUGAGGAGCGAAAGCGUGGGGGAGCGAACAGG
rnacentral:rRNA from 1 species